GAGUGGUUAAAAGAUAGAAUAGUCUAGUCAAGUGCCAUGUCUCUUAUUCUUGAUCAGCUAUAGCUCUAGGGUUUUUGCAGAUUUUCAAAUAAAACUCAGAGAUUCCUUGUAUGAUUCUCUCAGAUCUCUCUUUUGUGGUAUUUCUAGAUCCUUACCAAGGCAGUGAUGGUAUAUGCCUUCUCUCAAUAUAUGUGGUAUUUGUGGUAUAAAGCAUAGUGACAUUGCCUUCUCUCUCACCCUACUCUAAUAAGGCUUUAAUAUCUGGAGCUCAUAGAUGGGAGAUAAAGUAUACAUACUUACAAGACAUGUAUUGCAUAGUCAAACCAUGGAUCCAAAGAAACAAGCCAAUGAGUUUAAUCAAGAUGUGCAUGUGUGGCGAAUGAAUGAUGUAUGGUGAUGAUGGUGAUAACAAUGGUGGUGGAAGUCUAAUUCUACUUUGCUCUUUUGAGGGGAUACAUACCUUUCUUGUUUUUUUGAAACUUUAUGAGGAGAAUGAGAUGCUCUUCUUUUUCUUUUCUCUCAGGUGGGUAUCUUGCACCCCUAAUUCUACUGUCGGACACUUGUCCAUUUUUACCUCUCGUCUCACUCUCUUUUCUAUCGAGGUUCCGAGCACUUGCUCCUUUUUAUUUCCUCGUAUUUCUCUCUCUUUUUCUUUCCAGAGCAUUCAUCUCUUGAGAUAAUAUAGCAAGUGGUAGUAACAAGAUAACUUGUGCAUUUAUUUCACAAGGAAAAACAGAAAUAUUUUUGGCUAUUCUCUCCCGGAUUAGGAGUAGAAUAUUUUUGGGUGAUUCUGGAGAUGGAAUGGGUGGAUAUAUGUGGAUGGUACUUCCGGAAUAGAAGUAGCAUAUAUGAGUGAACGUGCAAGUGAAUCUUGAUUUAACCACAUGACAAAUUCCUAAGGGUCUACACAGCUUGACCACAAUCAAUGCUCAUAAGCAGUAAAUAGUAAAUGUGUGGCUCAAAGUCUAGCAAGCAUGUAUAUAUUGCUGUGGUAGGAAUUUAAACUCUCAUCAUACAGGAACUCAUCAUGCAACACUUUAAAGAUUUUUUAAAAGAUAAAAUUCUCCAGAAUUCUAGCAUCUCUAGGAACAGAUAAACAGCAGCUCAACCUUCCCAUAUCGUAUCCGUUAACAACUUAGACUUCAGAUCAAGUUUUCAUCCCACAAGUUUAGGUCUAGAGCAAGCUUUAAAUUAUAACAGUUAUAUCUAAACUUGAGAGAGAAUUUAAAAUGUGCAAAUUAGGCAGAGCAACUAUUCAUCAUUUCUAUGCUUAAGUUUUAUUUAGAUACAGAUUAGCAUAGCCACUUUAUUUAUUUAUUAAACACACUAAGCCAAAGACAUAUAUAUAAGCAUAAAAUAUUUAUUUGGUUUUUCAUAGUUUAUGUAUUUUAAUAUUCUAAUAUAGUAUAAGUAUAAAGAUAGAUAGAUAGAUAGAUAGAAAUACUUAUCGGGAUAAAUGGGGGUGCUCUCCCCCAAGCUGAAUUUUGACGUAAUUUCUCUUGAUGUAGCUAACAGGUGGCAGAGGUGUAUUUGAAAGUCAGCAGUAUUCUGAUAGCGAUUAGAAUGUCCUCCGUCUGCUAGUCUUCUUGAUUCUUAAAUUCUGUGGAGCUCAAAUUGACAACAAAGCUUGUGGAACUGAUUAAGUGUUAGCAUAAAUAUCUAGCCUUUAUCAUGUUGAGACUCCUUAAUAAUUAUUACUCCAUGUUUUUAUAUUUUUUUUUAUUUUAUAAAGCAGAAAAGAAAUAUUUAUUUUAUUUUUAUACCACCACAGUGAAUGUACUUAUGGGUUUUAUGCCACUCGCAUACUCACAUGGGGCUUACUGUUUUUCGCAUUUUUAUUUUCUUUUAUUUUUAAGAUAGUAUGAACAUGAUUAACUAAGUAAACUAGUUGAAAUAAUUGAAAGGGAAAGGAUAACUACCAAGUUUAUCUCUCGGCAAGGCGUUCGGUGUUUUCAAGUCCUCCGAACGGGACUCUCCAUUUUCUUAAUCGUCCUGAGGUUCGUUGGGUGGCGUAGUCGGUACUUCCGGUGGCGCCUCCUCUUCAUGUAUAGUUAUCUUCAUUUUCCACACCUGACUUGGUGCUUCAGUCUCCUCUGGAUAAUUCUGUUUAAACUCUACGUCUUCUGACCUUAUAACUUCUCCUUCAUAGUCUGCCCAUCCGUCCUUGAUGAUCUGCCUCCUCUGGUUGCGGUUGCGUCUUUUCCUUACCUGCUUAGAUUCUUCAAUGAUAUAGUUAGGGUCAGUAAAAUAACGGCGUACCUUCUCUGAGGGGAAGUGCAUAUGGACUUCUCCGGUUCCAAUGUAGAUAAUUGCUUUAACGGUGCUGAGGAACGGUCUUCCAAGGAUGAUGGGUGGAUCAUACUAAUCUUCUCCCAAGUCAAUAACUUGAAAGUCUGUGUAGACAAAGUGAUCGUCUAUUUUGACUGGGACAUCAGUUACUGUUCCUUUAACUUCUCGAAAUGUCUGAUCUGCCAUCUGGAGCUGAAUGUAUGUUGGUCUUAGGGGCAUGGUUUCGAAGAAGAGCCGAUAGGUGACUGCGGCCAUUAUGUUGACGCCCGAUCCGGUGUCACAAGUUGCCUUGUAGAAGUUGUAUCCAUUGAUGGAGCAAUAGAUGCUUGGCAUUCCUGGGUCGUCCUUCUUGGUCAAAAGCGGUGACUUAAGUUGGUGAUCUUGGCCUCCAUGAACUACAGUGACCAUCUUAGCUGACUCGGUCCACACUUGCUUGUUCCUGUUCCUCCUGUUGGUCCUCUUCCUUGAUUGACGUCUGGAUUGAUCUGGAAUUUGUGUAGUCUUGUUCUUGAAGAAAAAUGUCUCCUUCUUCCCUUUGACGUAGAAACUGAUCUUAGCAGCACUGGCGUAGAUGAUAGCUCCCGUGGUGUUCAAGAAUGGCCUCCCUAAGAUGAUAGGUGCUCUCUCAUCAUUUCCGGUCUCUACCACUACGAAGUCUGCUGGGGCAUAUAAGGUACCAACUCGGAUAAAAAGGUUCUUCACUAUUCCUUUUGGAAAAGUUAUCGUCUGAUCUGCAAACUGCAAACACAUGGUUGUUUCUAAUAAAGGAUAUGUAAAGAAUUUUUCAUAGAGUACCCUGGGUAUAAUGUUGACACUGGAGCCAAAGUCGCAGAGUGCUUCUGGAACGUCCACCAUGCCGAUAGAGAUCGGGAUGACGGGGCGUCCUGGAUCGCCUCUCUUGACCGGCAGAAGGUCAGUAGAAAAUUCAGUGGCGGGGUUACUCCAAUUACCUGCAUCAAACAUGUCUACAAGAUUUGCAGAUUCUAAUCCUUCCGGUUGUGAUGGUAUACCGGGGUUAGUAGUAGGAACAGCAGCAGCUAUUUGAUUUAACUGAGAUUCAAUCAUUUUAUUAAAGCUAAUUUGAUUCUUGAUGGCAGUAGAGAAAUUAUCCAUUCUAUUAUUUUUAUUUUCUAGCAUUUUAUCAUUAGAUGCCAAUUUCUUAGAUAAAUUAUCCGUUAGCUUUCCUUGAUUAGACACUAACUCUCUCAAAGGUGGAAAAUUAUUAGCAUUAUUGUUGUAAGAAUUAUUACCUUGAUAAUUACCUGAGUAGUUAGGCCUCUGUUGAUUCCAACCUUGAUUUUGUUGAGGACGGUUGUAGUAGUAGUUGUUGUUGUUGUUGAUGUAGUUCACAUCCUCAAGCAUCUCAGGGCAGUGGUUGCCUGAGUGUCCAGUGUCUCCACACUCCUCACAAGUCAUGUGAGAGUCGUAGAUGUGCAUAACUUCCUUCUUAUCUCCAGCUCUAUCAUCGAGCUUCUUCAUGAGCAGGUCUAGCUUUGCAGACAGCAUGUCUACCUCCUUGAGCUGAUGCAUACCUCCACCUCUCUUGCGUGUCUGGGUCCUCUCUUCAUUCCAGCUUUGGUUGGACGCCAUCUUCUCCACAAGAGCUGUGGCUUGUGGUAUUGUAAGUGAUAAGAAUGCUCCUCCAGCUGCAGCAUCCAUGGUCUCUCGGGCACUGUUGCCGAGCCCAUGAUAAAACAUCUGCAUCAAUAGCCAACUCUCCAUUCCAUGAUGGGGACAUUCUAGGAUGUAGUCUUGAAAGCGCUCCCAUGCUUCUGGAACAGAUUCAUCAUUUUGUUGCUGAAAACUUGUAAUCUUCCCACGGAGAGCAUUGGUCUUGCCCAUGGGAAAGAACUUAGCCAGAAAGUUUGUUGAGCAGAGUGCCCACGUAGUAUUCGUCUCCUUUGUAGCGUAAAACCACUGCUUCGCUCUUCCUAACAGUGAGAAUGGGAAGAGGCGAAGUAGUAUAGCAUCUUUGGAAACUCCUGAUACGGUGAAUGUGUUGCAAAUCUCCAGGAAGUGUUGUAAAUGAGCACUAGCAUCUUCGUGUGCCUUCCCACAGAACUGGUUGGAUUGCACCAUGUUGAUAAGUCCAGGCUUGAGCUCAAAGUUGCCAUCGAUCUCUGCAGCAGGUCCAGUGCGGAUGUUGUCCGUAGUGGGAGCUGAGAACUCGCGGAUUGAUUUGUUCGCCAUGGCUUCGAACUCUGAAGACAAGUUCCGGUAAUCUUCUUGAUUGGAUGAAGCUUCUUGCUGAAGUGUUGAUGAUCUCUUCUUGAGCUUGGCUCUCGUCUUCUUGAAUAAUGCUUCGGGAUUGUCAACAAAAUUUCCUGGAAGAUGUCUUCUAUUCAUACAUUCCCCUACAUAAGAUGAAAUAGGAAAAUAUAGGGGUAAAACUGUAUGAGAGAAUAGAUAAGCUCAAUCAUAUUAGUGAUGCGAAUGAUAACUCAAAAUCUUUUAUUCCAUUCCUGAUUAGUAAUCAACCUUCCCCGGCAACGGCGCCAAAAAUGCUUGUUGGGUUUUCUUAACAUCAUUACCAAAAGUAGACUAAGUUCUCUAAAUCUAGUAACGGUGCCAAAAAUGCCAAACCUAUCCCUCACACCACUUAAGCCAAGUUGUCAUCCCCAGCAUGAUAUAAGAGACGCGGUAUUGAAAUAUGCAAUUGCUCUUCUAAAUAAAUAAUGAAUGGGAUCUGCAAGCGCACAGAUUAAUACCGAUGUAGCAUUUUAACCGGGAAGUAUUCCAGGUAUCGUUAUUUAUAUUUUUACCACUGGGAAGGGAUUAGCAAUCAACAAUAUUGAUUACAGAAUAGAAUAUGAGAUUGAGCAUCUAUCAUUGCAUGUAUAAUUGAGAACAUUAUAUCUAACUCUUCAUACAGGGAUAAGUGUCACAUGAAAGAUAUAUGAAAUAAUAAUAGUGACAAGGAUAACUAAUCUAAUCUAGCCACAUAAUAAAUAUGAUAAGCACCUCAAUUAGAUACUCUAGAAAGUCAUUAGCAUGGUAUUAGAAUGAACUACAAGAAUAUUCCCUAAGUUAUUCUCAACUAUAUAGUCUAGCAUUAUCAUAGUUAGUGCAAGCAUACUUAGCAAUCAUUGUGAGACAAGACUACGCCCAUGCAUAGUGAUAUUAGCAAGGUAAAUGAGAAACAUAGCAAUCACUCCCCUGUAAUAAUGUUGCUCUGCCAGCCCAAUACACGAGAGGGGGACUAUAUAAGAAUCAAUGAAGCUGUCACUAUCACGAACCACCCAUUGGGUACAAUCGCAGAUAAAUACGGUAUAAGCACCACGCCUACACAAUAUCUAUCAUUUACCCAUGGAUCUGAUGGAUAAACGCUAUACGAUCCUAAGCAUGUAUAUAGAUCGAAUCUAACUAAGCCAAGUACAUAACUAUGAUAAACUAAGAACAAUAUAAUCUUGAAUAUAAGCAAGUAGAGCAAAGUCAUAAGCAAUAUAUUGAAGUAGAACAAAGUCAUAUUCAUAAUAUUGAAGAACAAAGAUAAUUAGAAGAACAAUUAGAAGCACAAUUAGAGAAUUACCAAGAAUCCUCUUGAAAGAUCCGGAAACCAAUCGAAGAUUGACUCCUUCUAGUUCUAAUCCUAUGUAGCUAUGCUAAUCUAGAUAUCUAAUUGAUGUGGUGGCUCUAAUCUUGAUCAGAGGCUUCUUCUCCCUUGAAGAACAAUGAAUUAGGGUUGAGAGGCUCUCUCCUCCAGGGGCCAGGGGGUCUGGUUUUAUAGUCCCUUCAAGUGAAUAUGGGCCAUUGGAUCAAACCGACAUAGAUUAUAUGGUUUAGAUUCAUCCUUUAGGUCGGUGGAGGUCUCCCGCGAAGCAGAGUCCUGAUUGGACUCCUGGAGAGGACGGGCGCCCCGACCAACUGGGCGGGCGCCCAGGGUCUGGCCCCGUUUCGCCUCCGCUUCGGUCUCGUGGCUUCUGGAGUCUUCUAGAUGUAAGAUAAUUGCGCGGCACGUUAACAUCUCUAUGUAAUCCCGACGUGUGGGCCUUUCUUCCGUAUUUCCUGAUAACCCCCUGCAGAAAUAGACAAACACCAAAACUCGUGGAAUUCUGUCAGAUAAAACCCUAAGUCUAGAUGUUGAUUUCAUUUGGAUCCUUUUCUUUGUUUAUUUAAUAAUUAAAUUUGAUACUUAAGGACCGUCAACAAACUCCCCCAAGCUUACCUCUUGCUCGUCCCUGAGCGAGGAUAGACUCAGCUAUGGAUCAUAAGUUGUUGCAAUAUUUUUAAAAAUUUGACGGUACACAUGCUUUUAAAUAAGAUCUCAUCUCUGAGUUAGAGUAAACUGUCAAGACUUAAAACUUACUUACUUUACCUUCACCAUGGGACUUGUAACCGUCACUUCUAUCUUGAGUGGUUAAAAGAUAGAACAGUCUAGUCAAGUGCCAUGUCUCUUAUUCUUGAUCAGCUAUAGCUCUGGGGUUUUUGCAGAUUUUCAAAUAAAACUCAGAGAUUCCUUGUAUGAUUCUCUCAGAUCUCUCUUUUGUGGUAUUUCUGGAUCCUUACCAAGGCAGUGAUGGUAUAUGCCUUCUCUCAAUAUAUGUGGUAUUUGUGGUAUAAAGCAUAGUGACAUUGCCUUCUCUCUCACCCUACUCUAAUAAGGCUUUAAUAUCUGGAGCUCAUAGGUGGGAGAUAAAGUAUACAUACUUACAAGACAUGUAUUGCAUAGUCAAACCAUGGAUCCAAAGAAACAAGCCAAUGACUUUAAUCAAGAUGUGCAUGUGUGGUGAAUGAAUGAUGUAUGGUGAUGAUGGUGAUAAUAAUGGUGGUGGAAGUCUAAUUCUACUUUGCUCUUUUGAGGGGAUACAUACCUUUCUUGCUUUUUUGAAACUUUAUGAGGAGAAUGAGAUGCUCUUCUUUUUCUUUUCUCUCAGGUGGGUAUCUUGCACCCCUAAUUCUACUGUCGGACACUUGUCUAUUUUUACCUCUCGUCUCACUCUCUUUUCUUUCGAGGUUCCGAGCAGUUGCUCCUUUUUAUUUCCUCGUAUUUCUCUCUCUCUUUUUUCAGAGCAUUCAUCUCUUGAGAUAAUAUAGCAAGUGGUAGUAACAAUAUAACUUGAGCAUUUAUUUUACAAGGAAAAACAGAAAUAUUUUUGGCUAUUCUCUCCAGGAUUAGGAGUAGAAAAUUUUUGGGUGAUUCUGGAGAUGGAAUGGGUGGAUAUAUGUGGAUGGUACUUCCGGAAUAGAAGUAGCAUAUAUGAGCGAACGUGCAAGUGAAUCUUGAUUUAACCACAUGACAAAUUCCUAAGGGUCUACACAGCUUGACCACACUCAAUGCUCAUAAGCAGUAAAUAGUAAAUGUGUGGCUCAAAGUCUAGCAAGCAUGUAUAUAUGGCUGUGGUAGGAAUUUAAACUCUCAUCAUACAGGAACUCAUCAUGCAACACUUUAAAGAUUUUUUAAAAGAUAAAAUUCUCCAGAAUUCUAGCAUCUCUAGGAACAGAUAAACAGCAGCUCAACCUUCCCAUAUCGUAUCCGUUAACAACUUAGACUUCAGAUCAAGUUUUCAUCCCACAAGUUUAGGUCUAGAGCAAGCUUUAAAUUAUAACAGUUAUAUCUAAACUUGAGAGAGAACUUAAAAUGUGCAAAUUAGGCAGAGCAACUAUUCAUCAUUUCCAUGCUUAAGUUUUAUUUAGAUAC
rnacentral:lncRNA from 1 species